UACAGAGGGUGCAAGCGUUAAUCGGAAUUACUGGGCGUAAAGGGUGCGUAGGUGGUCAAUUAAGUUGUAUGUGAAAUCCCUGGGCUUAACCUAGGAAUUGCGUAUAAAACUGAUUGGCUAGAGUUUGGGAGAGGGAAGUGGAAUUUCCGGUGUAGCGGUGAAAUGCGUAGAUAUCGGAAGGAACACCAGUGGCGAAGGCGACUUCCUGGCCCGAUACUGACACUGAGGCACGAAAGCGUGGGGAGCAAACAGG
rnacentral:rRNA from 1 species